UACGAAGGGGGCUAGCGUUGCUCGGAAUUACUGGGCGUAAAGCGCACGUAGGCGGCUUCUUAAGUCGGUGGUGAAAUCCUGGAGCUCAACUCCAGAACUGCCUUCGAUACUGGGAAGCUCGAGUCCGGGAGAGGUGAGUGGGAACUGCGAGCGUAGAGGUGAAAUUCGUAGAUAUUCGCAAGAACACCAGUGGCGAAGGCGGCUCACUGGCCCGGUACUGACGCUGAGGUGCGAAAGCGUGGGGAGCAA
rnacentral:rRNA from 1 species